CUCUCCUCCUUCCUCCACAUCCUCAAGAAGAGUGGGGCUUUUUUCGCCACGUGUCGCCAAACCAAACCAACUGCGUCGUCUGAAUUUAUUUUUUCUAUUCCGGUUAUCUCAUCCGCUAUUUGGACUGGGCUAUUUUUACAGCUUAUGACUGGGCCUCUUGAAACAUUAUGAUAAGCCCAAACCUUUGAAAUAUUAUGACAAGCUCACUAAUUUUAGGUUUAUUCUUCUUUGCUAGCGACCUAUGUAGACUGCCCGAUGAAAACUUCAGAAACUAAAUCGCCGUUCCGAUCUCCUCCGUAGGGUCUCAAACUUCCAUUAAUCCAUGAUUGACUCUGAGUUUUUGCAUGAUUAACCCACCACACCAUUUCCACUGGGAAGCAUUCAUUCAAUCGACCUCUUCGCAUCCCACAUCAACUCAAACCUUUUUUACAGCUUUUUAACCAUCCUGUCCUUUGGUGUGAUUGGUGUUUUCAUCUCUACUACCAUUAUUUUGUUUGGUAAAAAAUCUUUUUUACAUUCUUCAAACUUGUAUGCCUUGACUGACGACCAUGAUGAUGCAAACUUUAAAUCAUCAUCUGAACCAGGCACUUGGUGGCUGUCUUCCAAGUUGGGAUUCAAGGGAUUGACUGCUCGAGACUAUCUUGGUUCUUGAUUUUUGAAAAGAGUAUCUCUGUCCUGAGAUUCCUUCUUCUCAAGCUUGUAUGUUUACAAGAUUUUACAAUAUCCAUGUUAACAUUACAUAUUCUCCAUCAAGAUGAGACUCCAUUGCUAUACAGCUUAGUCCUUGGAGAAGGAGUAGUGAAUGAUGCAACCUCAGUUGUUCACUUCAACGUCGUUCAAAAGAUUCACGUCGAAAGCAUCUAUGGUUUGACGGCUCUACGAGUAUUUGAAAACUUUCUGUACCUCUUCUCCACAAGCACAAUCCUCGGAAUCGCUAUUUAAAACCCAGGGCAGAAGACAAAUGUAGCUUUUUAAAUGUUUUAUUAUCACUGCUGAUCCUCAGAUCAUUGAGUUUCUCUGUAGUGACUGCGAUUCAGAAAGAUGAGGGUUGGUGUUACAUUGGCUGCUUCGGGUGGUCAAAGAAACUCGUCCGAGAGGAAUCUUUCUUCACAUGUGUCGCCUGCAAUAAACUAAUGCUGUGGCUGAACUCAGGUACAGGGUGAUACUUUUUGUGUUAGACGACACUGGCACAUCGGCUUUCCUUGGCUUUGAUACGAAGGUGACUAAACUGACUGGCAUUGAAGCUUCUGAGGCUGCACAUAUUGUGGGGAUAUGUUAAUGCUCAGGUUGACACUGACCUGCCUCGAUCACUGGCUGAUAUUGUUGGGAGUACCUAUACCUUCCAGCUCAGAUUAAAAGACUUCAAUUUUACUGCAAACCACCAAACCUUUACCAUUUCCCUCAUAUUUCCUGCACGAGAGCUUGCACCUAUGCCAACCUUUGCUGAAGGUGUACAAGUCCCUGAAGCUGACACACCAGGAUCAUAUGCAAGACUUGCUAACACUUGCAAAGUUGCAGAGCAAGCAACUACAUCUGAUGUUUCACUUCCCGGGCGUUUAGCAGCAGCGAAAGAACAAGUUAUUCUGGAAAGAAUACCCCGAAGAAAGCACGUGUAGAAUGAGUCCCCUAGCUCAUCUGCGUCUUCUUUGGAGGGAAAUAUGGAGAGCAGAACAGCUCCUACCACAUACCAAGUCAUCCAUCUGCAAGUCUUGCACCCUCCUAUAAUCCUCGAUGGCAAACUCAGAAGAAUUUUCAGAGCAAGUAUUCACAGAUUGGUGAUAAGUAACGCUCCACCGAUGAGGUUUGAAUCACACAAACUUCUUUCGUCUAAGUGUGUGUGAGUUUAUGUCUAAGUGUCUAUAGUACUCCUAUGAAGACCCGAUAUCUAACCAACAUGGGAAGGCUCCAAACCCACCAAGUUGUGACAUACUCAACAUGAACCAUCUAUGCAACAAUUAUUACUACUUUAAAAGACCGGAACAGUUUGUCCUUUACAUUUCUCAAAGAUGAGCAAAAAACAUUUCCAGUCUUUACCUUUUUUAAGAAUGAUUAUUUCUCCCUUUUUUUGGGUCAAAGAUUAUUUCUCCCUUAUGUAUUGAGUUCUCCUAUAAAGUUUCAGUUUAAGCUUCCACCAUAAUAGACAUUAACUUCUCCGUCAUCCAUACAUACAAAAACACUAAAACAAUUUACAGAAAAAAUAAUAAUUAUUGCAUCGCUUGCAUUAGUAAGAAUCUUUAGAGAUAGGCUCGAGGGGAGUCGGAAAUGCCUUUACUUGACGUACAAGUGUGGGGUCUCCUAACCGAAUAGCAUAAACCAGAGGUUUUCCAUCAAACAUGCACUCAUAAAAUUCAUAUUUCAGGUUUCUAAAUUCUAUAUCAACAAUAUCAAAUGCACCAGAAAUUAAUAUUUUUUAAAUUCGUAUAUCUACAAGCAAUGCUCAUGUGUCCCUAAUCCCCAACUAAGGACUAUAUUAUAACUCUCCUACCAUCCCAGUUCAUUACGUAACUAGAUAUAUAAAAAUACAGUCUAUAUAAUUCAUCCAACGUCUACAGAAAAAAAAAAAGAAAUGAUUAAACAAAUAUAAGUUAAAUUAGCAGAAGCUUCAUUAUAUGAUCAAUUGGUUUAAAAACUAAGCACCCUAAGAAAACUUUGAAAUAAAUAGUACAAAUAUCGCUGCUUAAUUAAAACAUAAGAAUCCUGAACAAAAGGUAAAUAAUAGUUAUAUUAUUAAUAAAAUGUAACGUCAAUUAAAAACAUAUAAUAUAAUGCUCUCUUACAAAUCCACACUAAAUAAAAAUUAUUAGAGAUAAUUCUGAUAAAAAUUAACAAUCUAACGUAAACAAACAUUCAUCCAAAAAAACAAACCUUUUGAAUAAAUGAUCCUCUAAACAAAAU